AACACACACAAACUCCUGUAUUUCCCUUCUGAAAGUGCAAUAAGAAUAUUCAUGCCGUACCAGGACAAUGAGCGUUUUGGAAGAUAUAAUACAUAGAACAGAUAAGGAAUUCCUUGACUACUUGGAGAACAACAUACAAAGCUGAAUGAAGUGCAUUCUACAGCAUGAGAUACAGUGCUGGUAAAUGUGAAGAAAUUUUAUUCUACAGUAUUUACAAAACAAGAUACAUGAGGCAUCAGAAACAACAAUUUUUCACGUUUCUGCCUAUUAUGCAGCAGAUUACAGGCAACAAGCAUCACAUUCAACUUGUCACAAUGGAAAUAAAAUAAGAAUAAAAAAUUUAAAAAGCAUCAGAAAAUGGGCAUUAACUUCCAAAACACAUCACAUGCAAGAUAACUGGAAUAAAAUUAGCAUCUUUUGAUGUUAAAAAUGAAACUACUGUCUGUAAACUGGAAAGAUAAACGAAAUGAAUGUGAUCAGUAAGCACACUUGAAUUUCACAGUACUCUCUGUGAAAUUAAAUCUUAUAACCUGAAAAUGUGUAAGAUAUCUUCUCAAAUACAAGCCAAUCCUCACACAA